GUCUGGAGGUAAGCUGUUCAGAGCUGAUGCGGUGUUUCCAGGCAGCAGCACUUGGAAGAGUAAAGAACAAUAAGUAAGGAAUUCUAGAAGUCUCUUAAAAAAAAAGAAAAUCUAUGUUUGAGAUCUCCAAUAGAAGUCAUCAGAACCCUGUUAGGGAAAUGCAUGACAUGAAGACACAUGCUUGUCUCACUUUGGAACUGGAGGAAAGAGUUGAAACCUACAUCUGUAUGGAAACGCUCACAGACCUAGAAGAAACGAAUCUAAAAAACAGUCAAGCUGCCUAUAGCAAUAUCACAAAUAGGGGAAUGUUGAACUUUUUUUAAGUAAAAGAUAAAAGAAGACAAAAAUGUAAUUUUUUCUGUAUGAAACCUUUCGUUCUCUUUG
rnacentral:lncRNA from 10 species